AGAAUUUUCAUAGUUUAUCAUUACAGUAUUUGUAAAUUUUAUAUUUUAUAAUAUAGACUAUAUCACACUGUAUGGUAUAUAUCUUUUCCCCUUUACAUUAAAACAUUUUAAACGGAACUAUAGUUGUUUAAUACAGAAAUUUAAGUGAUCAAAUUUUCAGUAUGAAUUUCGUCCGGAAUAAUAAGGGAGUUAUUUUUAGCAUCAUUU